rnacentral:rRNA from 1 species
AGAGUUUGAUCAUGGCUCAGAACGAACGCUGGCGGCAGGCUUAACACAUGCAAGUCGAACGGGCGCGAGCAAUCGCGUCAGUGGCAGACGGGUGAGUAACGCGUGGGAACAUACCCUCCGGUUCGGAAUAGCUCAGGGAAACUUGGAUUAAUACCGGAUACGGCCGAAAGGCGAAAGAUUGAUCGCCGGAGGAUUGGCCCGCGUUCGAUUAGCUAGUUGGUGAGGUAACGGCUCACCAAGGCGACGAUCGAUAGCUGGUCUGAGAGGAUGAUCAGCCACAUUGGGACUGAGACACGGCCCAAACUCCUACGGGAGGCAGCAGUGGGGAAUAUUGGACAAUGGGCGCAAGCCUGAUCCAGCCAUGCCGCGUGAGUGAUGACGGCCUUAGGGUUGUAAAGCUCUUUCGCUCGGGACGAUAAUGACGGUACCGAGAGAAGAAGCCCCGGCUAACUUCGUGCCAGCAGCCGCGGUAAUACGAAGGGGGCUAGCGUUGUUCGGAAUUACUGGGCGUAAAGCGCGUGUAGGCGGGUCUUUAAGUCAGGGGUGAAAUGCCAGGGCUCAACCUUGGAACUGCCUUUGAUACUGGAGAUCUUGAGUCCGGGAGAGGUGAGUGGAAUUGCGAGUGUAGAGGUGAAAUUCGUAGAUAUUCGCAAGAACACCAGUGGCGAAGGCGGCUCACUGGCCCGGAACUGACGCUGAGACGCGAAAGCGUGGGGAGCAAACAGGAUUAGAUACCCCAGUAGUCC